UACAGAGGUCUCAAGCGUUGUCCGGAAUCACUGGGCGUAAAGGGCGCGUAGGCGGCGCGGGAAGUCCGUGGUGAAAGCCCGAGGCUCAACUUCGGGUCGGCCAUGGAUACUCCUGGGCUCGAGCACUGUAGAGGCAGGUGGAAUUCCGGGUGUAGCGGUGGAAUGCGUAGAGAUCCGGAAGAACACCGGUGGCGAAGGCGGCCUGCUGGGCAGUAGCUGACGCUGAGGCGCGACAGCGUGGGGAGCAAACAGG
rnacentral:rRNA from 1 species